rnacentral:rRNA from 1 species
GACGAACGCUGGCGGCGUGCCUAAUACAUGCAAGUAGAACGCACAGUUUAUACCGUAGCUUGCUACACCAUAGACUGUGAGUUGCGAACGGGUGAGUAACGCGUAGGUAACCUGCCUGGUAGCGGGGGAUAACUAUUGGAAACGAUAGCUAAUACCGCAUAAUAUUAAUUAUUGCAUGAUAAUUGAUUGAAAGAUGCAACUGCAUCACUACCAGAUGGACCUGCGUUGUAUUAGCUAGUAGGUGAGGUAACGGCUCACCUAGGCGACGAUACAUAGCCGACCUGAGAGGGUGAUCGGACACACUGGGACUGAGACACGGCCCAGACUCCUACGGGAGGCAGCAGUAGGGAAUCUUCGGCAAUGGACGAAAGUCUGACCGAGCAACGCCGCGUGAGUGAAGAAGGUUUUCGGAUCGUAAAGCUCUGUUGUAAGAGAAGAACGGGUGUGAGAGUGGAAAGUUCACACUGUGACGGUAUCUUACCAGAAAGGGACGGCUAACUACGUG